rnacentral:rRNA from 1 species
UACGUAGGGUGCAAGCGUUAAUCGGAAUUACUGGGCGUAAAGCGUGCGCAGGCGGUUAUGCAAGACAGAUGUGAAAUCCCCGGGCUCAACCUGGGAACUGCAUUUGUGACUGCAUAGCUAGAGUACGGUAGAGGGGGGAUGGAAUUCCGCGUGUAGCAGUGAAAUGCGUAGAGAUGCGGAGGAACACCGAUGGCGAAGGCAGCCCCCCUGGGCUAACACUGACGCUCAGGCACGAAAGCGUGGGGGAGCAAACAGG